rnacentral:rRNA from 1 species
GCCAGCCGCCGAAGGUGGGACAGAUGAUUGGGGUGAAGUCGUAACAAGGUAGCCGUAUCGGAAGGUGCGGCUGGAUCACCUCCUUUCUAAGGA